rnacentral:rRNA from 1 species
GACGAACGCUGGCGGCGUGCUUAACACAUGCAAGUCGAACGGAAAGGCCCUGCUUUUGUGGGGUGCUCGAGUGGCGAACGGGUGAGUAACACGUGAGUAACCUGCCCUUGACUUUGGGAUAACUUCAGGAAACUGGGGCUAAUACCGGAUAGGAGCUCCUGCUGCAUGGUGGGGGUUGGAAAGUUUCGGCGGUUGGGGAUGGACUCGCGGCUUAUCAGCUUGUUGGUGGGGUAGUGGCUUACCAAGGCUUUGACGGGUAGCCGGCAUGAGAGGGUGACCGGCGACAUUGGGACUGAGAGACGGCCCAGACUCGUACGGGAGGCAGCAGUGGGGAAUAUUGCACAAUGGGCGGAAGCGUGAUGCAGCAACGCCGGGUGCGGGAUGACGGCCUUCGGGUUGUAAACCGCUUUAGCCUGUGACGAAGCGUGAGUGACGGUAAUGGGUAAAGAAGCACCGGCUAACUACGUG